UUUUGGCAUCAAUGGUGGCUCUGGUAUGGCGGCAGGAGUGUCCCUCUGGAUGUUUAUCUUCCCUCCAACCGCUCUCUUUCUUCUUCUCCAGUUAGGGUUGUCGACUAGGAUUUUGGGGUCGACUGAAGAGACUUAAACCUCUCUUCCUCUGAUCCUGGCCGUUCAUUCGUGUCGAUGUGGAGAGAGGAGGACCGUCCAAUUUGAUGCAUGUUUAGGCCAACACGUGUGAAAAUCUAGACCAUCCAUCGUGAUCAAAUCAAGCUAUCUGAUCGCAUUUGAAGAAGAAAUGAAAUUAAGUUGUUGGAUCAC
rnacentral:lncRNA from 1 species